rnacentral:misc_RNA from 1 species
AACGCACGAGACCUGCGGACCUGCGGAGGGAUCAUUACCGAGUUUACAACUCCCAAACCCAAUGUGAACGUUACCAAACUGUUGCCUCGGCGGGAUCUCUGCCCCGGGUGCGUCGCAGCCCCGGACCAAGGCGCCCGCCGGAGGACCAACCAAAACUCUUUUGUAUACCCCCUCGCGGGUUUUUAUAUAUCUGAGCCAUCUCGGCGCCUCUCGUAGGCGUUUCGAAAAUGAAUCAAAACU